rnacentral:rRNA from 1 species
UACGAGGGGUGCAAGCGUUAUUCGGAAUCAUUGGGCGUAAAGGGUGCGUAGACGGCUUACUAAGUCAACUGUUAAAUUCUCCGGCCUAACUGGAGGCGAGCAGUAGAAACUGAUAGGCUUGAGGUUGGAAGAGAGAAGUGGAAUUCUCGGAGUAGCGGUAAAAUGCGUAGAUCUCGAGAGGAACACCGAUGGCGAAGGCAGCUUCUUGGUCCAAAUCUGACGUUGAGGCACGAAAGCGUGGGGAGCAAACAGG